GCCAGGUGCAGUGGUGCAUGCCUGUAAUCCCAGCUGCUGGGGAGGCUGAGAUAGGAGGAUCACAAGUUCAAAGCCAGCCUCAGCAAUAGCAAGGCACUAAGCAACUCAGGGAGACCCAGUCUCUA
rnacentral:sRNA from 1 species